UGAGUAAUGCCUAGGAAAUUGCCCUGAUGUGGGGGAUAACCAUUGGAAACGAUGGCUAAUACCGCAUGAUGCCUACGGGCCAAAGAGGGGGACCUUCGGGCCUCUCGCGUCAGGAUAUGCCUAGGUGGGAUUAGCUAGUUGGUGAGGUAAGGGCUCACCAAGGCGACGAUCCCUAGCUGGUCUGAGAGGAUGAUCAGCCACACUGGAACUGAGACACGGUCCAGACUCCUACGGGAGGCAGCAGUGGGGAAUAUUGCACAAUGGGCGCAAGCCUGAUGCAGCCAUGCCGCGUGUGUGAAGAAGGCCUUCGGGUUGUAAAGCACUUUCAGUCGUGAGGAAGGUAGUGUAGUUAAUAGCUGCAUUAUUUGACGUUAGCGACAGAAGAAGCACCGGCUAACUCCGUGCCAGCAGCCGCGGUAAUACGGAGGGUGCGAGCGUUAAUCGGAAUUACUGGGCGUAAAGCGCAUGCAGGUGGUUUGUUAAGUCAGAUGUGAAAGCCCGGGGCUCAACCUCGGAAUUGCAUUUGAAACUGGCAGACUAGAGUACUGUAGAGGGGGGUAGAAUUUCAGGUGUAGCGGUGAAAUGCGUAGAGAUCUGAAGGAAUACCGGUGGCGAAGGCGGCCCCCUGGACAGAUACUGACACUCAGAUGCGAAAGCGUGGGGAGCAAACAGGAUUAGAUACCCUGGUAGUCCACGCCGUAAACGAUGUCUACUUGGAGGUUGUGGCCUUGAGCCGUGGCUUUCGGAGCUAACGCGUUAAGUAGACCGCCUGGGGAGUACGGUCGCAAGAUUAAAACUCAAAUGAAUUGACGGGGGCCCGCACAAGCGGUGGAGCAUGUGGUUUAAUUCGAUGCAACGCGAAGAACCUUACCUACUCUUGACAUCCAGAGAACUUUCCAGAGAUGGAUUGGUGCCUUCGGGAACUCUGAGACAGGUGCUGCAUGGCUGUCGUCAGCUCGUGUUGUGAAAUGUUGGGUUAAGUCCCGCAACGAGCGCAACCCUUAUCCUUGUUUGCCAGCGAGUAAUGUCGGGAACUCCAGGGAGACUGCCGGUGAUAAACCGGAGGAAGGUGGGGACGACGUCAAGUCAUCAUGGCCCUUACGAGUAGGGCUACACACGUGCUACAAUGGCGCAUACAGAGGGCAGCCAACUUGCGAAAGUGAGCGAAUCCCAAAAAGUGCGUCGUAGUCCGGAUUGGAGUCUGCAACUCGACUCCAUGAAGUCGGAAUCGCUAGUAAUCGUGGAUCAGAAUGCCACGGUGAAUACGUUCCCGGGCCUUGUACACACCGCCCGUCACACCAUGGGAGUGGGCUGCAAAAGAAGUAGGUAGUUUAACCUUCGGGGGGACGCUUACCACUUUGUGGUUCAUGACUGGGGUGAAGUCGUAACAAGGUAGCGCUAGGGGAACCUGGCGCUGGAUCACCUCCUUA
rnacentral:rRNA from 1 species